GGAGGUGGAAGUUGCAGUGAGCCCAGAUGGCGUCACUGCACUCCAGCCUGGGCGACUAGAACAAACCUCCGUCUCAAAUAAAUAAAUAAAUAAGAUAAUAGGACUCUGAGGCUCUAUGACUGCCACCCUGUAGGUCAGAAAUGGGAUCUCAUUCCAGCUCUUAUCAAUAAGCUAGGGGAAUGCAAACUGACAUGCCCAAGCUUAUUGAUAUUGCAAAAUUAUUUAUUACAGCAAAAGAUUGGAAGCAACCCAGAUAUUCAUCAAUAAGAGACUGGUUAAGAAAAAUGAUCUCACACUAUGUAGUUGCAAAUAAGAAACGAAGAAGGUUUUUAUGUGCUCUGUUACACAAACUCCAUGAAAAAAAGGCAAGGCAAUGAUUAGGAUAAUAUGCUAGAUUUUUAAUAAAAGAGAGAAGAAAUAAGAUUCUGAAUUUGCUUGUAUGUGUGUGAAUGUUCUAGAGAGAUACUUAGCAGGUAGUAUGGUUGACUGGGCAGACAGAGGAUAAGAUGGGAGGGAGAGUUAACUGUGUAUCUUCUUAUACUUUUUAGUUUUAAAACCAUCAGAAUGAGUGUGCUAGCCAAAAAAUUGAAAAGAAAAAAAAUAAAAGAGGUGACCUUGAACCAGCGAUUCCACUGACCUGGCGUUAGUCUCCCUAUCUGUAUGUGAGGCAGUUGGACCAGAUUGUGACUCCUUAGUCUGAAGUGGAACGUUGUGAAUAUUGUAUUUCCCAGGCUUUCGUGGACUUUUCCAGGAGAUCCUGACCUUGUGCUAGGGUAAUCUGCAGUCCCUUUCAUUGGUGGCCUGGCCUGGCCCUCUCAGGAUGUUUGAGAAAGGUUGGAGGCCACAGAGAGCAAGGAGCCUUCCCCAGAGGAGUCAGGCCUUGUUCCUGUCCCCUUUCCUCAGUUUAUCCUCUGAGCACAUGCCUCUGAUGUGACUCAGUUGGUUCUUCCUCCAAAGUGAAGGAUUUCAGUGAAGAGAGACUGUUCUGGAGCAUUCUGGCAAAGUGCUACAGUUUAAUAGGAAGGAAAAAAAUGGCAGAACAUUUUCCGGGUUAUUUUUAAUGCUUCUCAGUUCUGCAAACAUUUAUUGAAAGCUAAGUGCAAGGCAGUGUGGGAGAAUCAGUUGCGUAAUACCUCACCUCUGCUUUCCGGGGUGCAAAGUCUUAAGUAAGAAACAUGCUCAUAAAAUUCAUCAUAGUAACCUCUAGGACAGCCUGGCUUACCCAUGCUCUCAUUGGGUCCCAUGGAGACAUGUGGGAUUGGUAGGGAUUCUUCCCAUUUUACAGGUGAGGAAACUGACUCGCAGUGAAGUCUUGCUCAAAGCCACACAGUUUGGAACCAAACAAGAUUUUCCGACUACUUCUCACGUGUCCUAACCCCCGUAAUCAAAACAUUCUCCCAUAGGAGAUAUCUGGGGUGUAGAUUAGGCCGGUUUCCACCUGGAAACAUGGGGCAAGCACAGUCCUGAUUAAAGCUUCUUCUCCUUCACUUUUUUCCAUUGCUUUUUUUCUUCCUUUAAGGCAGAGCAAGGUAACUCUUAGGCUUAUGGCCAGAUCUCAGGUCUUAUCUCCUUUCCUGUGGUCCAAGCAAUUCUUCUUGCUUUGCCUGUGAAACCCACUAUCCUACCACCAGUUGCAUGCGGAAUGUCCCAUGUGGGUAAAGGUGUGUGUAACCUGUGUAACCUACAGCAGCCUUCUCUCCACCCCAAUCUCAUGCUGCCACCUCCUUUCAUUCCCUUCCACAAAUUCUCUCGUACCAAGCUGGCUUCCUAGCUGUUCCCCAAUAGAGCCAAGCAUGCUGCCCACUCAGGGUCUUUGCCCUGGCUGUUCCUUCUUUCUGCCUGGAAGGCCCUUCCCGGUUGUAGACUUGGCCUUACGUCUCUGCUGAAAGCUCACUUUGGAUAGGCCUUCCUGGUUACCCUUUCUAAAGUAGUAUCCCUUGUCACUAUUGCUUUUCUGUCCUUUUUUUUUUCUUUAAAGCAUUCAUACACAUUAUAUACACAUGUAUAUAUUUAUUGGUUUAUUAUUUGGCUCCCCUACUGGAAUGUAAACCCGUGAGAUAGGCACCUAGUUUUGUUUACCACGGUAUCACUAAUGCCUAGCAUGGUACCUAGCAUGGCAUGUAGUAUAUACUCUAUAUGGACUGUUGAAUGACUGUAUCAGGCCUGCAUCCUAAAGCAAGUAAUAUUUAAGAAGAAGGAAUCAAAUCAUAGCAUUUUAAGAGGGGAAAAGACUCAGGGCUCUCUUUGUAGGGCUUUAUCAUACAAUAUUAUUAAUUCAUCUAAUAAGCAUCCAGCACUGUUUAUGUAUGAAGCUCUUUGCAGACAGUCACUUACAGCCUUCUGAUUCAUACAGGGAUGAGAAGCUCCCAGAUUUUCAGAGCAGCCCAUUAUUUUGUGAGACAGCCAUAAUGAUCUGGGGACCUUCUUACAAAGUACACUGGGGAGAAAGCUGUCCCUAUGAUUCCUACACUCUGAUCUUAGUUCUUGAACCGCUGGAAAACACAAUAAACAUACAUGACACUCCUUCAAAUAAGUGGAGAGAGAGAGAGAGAUCAUGGUCUCCCCUACCCUCAGGCCUAAACAUCACUAGUUCCCUCAGUUAUUCUUCUAGUAUCCCAGUUUUCAGAUGCCUUCCUACCCUGGUUGCCUUCCUCAAGUUUGUUCUUCAAAUGUUGGAAUUUCAGGUCUAGUCCUGUCAGUGCAGAGUGUUUCGGGACCAAGGAACCCUGGUCCAUCCCACGUGUUCCUAUCAGCAUAGCCUUCAAUGGCUCGUCUGUGUUGGCUGCCAUGGUAGAAGCCUCCUUCAUGAGCCUCUGAUGAAGACUAAAAUCAUUAAGCUCCGUUUUACAUUGUCUCGAGUCAUGUGGACCCUCCCUGACUCUUCAUAGUUUUUUUGGUUUGGGGGUUUUGUUUUUUAGCAUUUUGAGAUUAAAGCAGCCAUAGACUUGUGAACAACAAUAAACUUAACCUGCACUCUUUUUAAAAAACAACAAGUGUAGGUAAAGUUCUAUCACCAAACCCAGGGGAAGGAGAUGGAACUCUGGAAGUUCAGCAAUACCUGCAAAGCCUCUAACUCCUUUCUUCCCUCUCCGUGUCUUUCUCUGCGUCUGUCUCCCUCUCCCCUUCCUUCCAGCAGCCCCUCACUUUGCCAUAGCUUCCUUGCUCUCCCUCAUUCCAUUGCUUUUAUUAAUCCUCCUUCCAAUUAGAAAUAUGGAGCUAACAUAUACUGCUAGCAUUUCUUGCACUUCCAUCACUAAUAUUUUUUGCCAUACAUGUGUAAUUUACAGAUUAAGGAAGCUGCACAUUUCACACUUGUCUAAGGGAGAAAUAACUAAUGUUAAAUGGCUUCUUAUGUGUAGCCCUUGGCUAAUUUGUUUUGUGGCCUUGGAUAGAAAAAACUUUCAGCCCCAGCCUUAGGUUCUUCUGCAUGAUUGGUUCCCAUUUCUGCCCAAAUCAGCGAUUUCCCAUUGGUGGUUGGACACUAGGGCUUCAGUGCCGAGGCGGCGUUUGCUCUGCUUCUGUCAUUGCUGAUGCUGCUGUCAUUUUGCAUAGAGGUGGCAGGGAAGGAGGCCAAGGUCGAGGUUUCAUCUAUGAGGCCAUUUAGCUUUCCCUGCCUCUUCUGCAUUUGCAGCCCUGCCUGGGUGUGUGGAAGGUGGGAGGGGAGAGCAGGGGCUGAGUUCAGGCCGGGGCUCUUCCUAACAGCUAAUUUUGUUUUUCACCUUUCUUUCCUCUUGCUUCAAGGAGGAUGGAGAGGCCUGUAACUUUGAGGGUGUGGGCCCUAAGUUAGGAGUCUUGAGAGAAUGGCCUAAGGUUCGAUUCUACAAUGGGGUAACUGUGUAGCCUUGGGUGAGUCAGAGUUAGUUUCCACCCAGCUUCGUCAAUUGCUAGGGAAGUUGGAUUAGAUACAGUGGUUCCCGAAAAGUGGCAUUGAUGGGGUCCUUUAUUUCUUUGAAGCAUUUUUAAAAAGCUAUCUGGAAAUGGAGCAGACGCUCACACCACGGCUGUGGGAUGUGUCCCGGCCUCUGAGUCUGAUUGGCAUGUUUUCUUAGAUGGGUUACGCUGGGGGCUGGAAUAGGCAGAAACUUUGAACUGCCAGCUCCUGGGUCUCUGAAUAGUAACACUGGGGAAAUGAAUUAACUUCUGUUUUGCUGACAGUUCCUCCACUCGGGGGUCCAUCCCGGACUCCGAGGCAGAAACCCUGGGCUGCUCCCUGAAGACUCCAAUGGGAUUUCCUUAGCAGACAGCUCCCGCAGUCCGCAAGCGGUCCCAGCCAAGUUGGGCUUCAAUCUCCCAAUCUGAUUUCAGCAGCCAGAAUUAACCCUAUGUGUAUCUGUCAGCUGGGACAGUUGAUUUUUCUGAGUGGUUUUAGUGGGGAGCUUUGCCUCAGAAAGUGAAUAAAGGGUUUGCCUUCUAUAAUCUAGAUGAUUCUCCAGAGCCAUUCCCCGCCCACACCCCAACCCCUCCCCUAGCCUGUUUGGCCAUUCAGCAGGCAUUUACUGAAAGCCAGCCCCUCUGGGGAGGACACCAAGGUGACCCUGAGACCUCGGACCUUAGCAAGGCUGUGUUGGGGGAGAGACAGGAGGAAGAAUGACUGGCCUUCAGCAGCUCUCAGGGCCCUGGUGGACAGGGGCAGGUUGCCUGGGAGGGACAGAAGGGGCAUCUUGGAGGCCACGCAAUGACCUGUGAGAGGAAAGACAUCAGAUGGGACAAUGCCGGACUCCCACAUUCGGAACCCAGCACCCGGGGCCUCUGGGGGGUGUUUUUAUAUCCUGAUGUGUGGUUCUUAAAAACUUGUAAUUAAUUUUA